ACAGUGCCACCUAGCCCCAGGUGACGGCGUCAGAAUGGUUCACAGUCACCAUUUACUGUUCACAGCUUCAUCCGUACUGCCAGUCAGUGUGAGCUGAUGGGAAGAGGAAGAGGACGUUUGGGAGCCACACCCUCCCCUUGCUCUGAGAGGCAGCUCAGAGCUUCGUUAGACUUCAGUGAAGGACCACUUGUUCCCUGAAGGCAUCUUUUGUUGAUCUUGCUGUUCGGAGACAAAAUUAUCCUGGAACAGAUUUUUUUCUAUUUUUAGGUACAUUGUUGAUUGUGAAACUGGAGUCUCCAGUGAUCUUUUCAUAAACAUGCCAGAGACGGUCUCAAGAGACAAACAGACUGAUGUUCUUGCCCCGAGCAGUUUAGGGUGAGCUCAAAGGAAUCUUGAGGAAUCUGACAUCUCGUGUUUCUGGGAGGAGAAGGGGACCGUGUAGAACUAACCUAGGAACCUAUGGACUCUGUGGAUAUCCCUCUGGUUUUGUUAUUUUCAGUUCUCCAGGAAAAUUACGGGUGGCAGGAAGGACAAACUUUCUCAGCGUGAAUGAAGAAAGCUGCAGACGAGGCCCCGGCUUCAUGGCUCUCCUGAGCGUGAGUCCACGCUACAGGCUCUAAGUCUUCACUAGCCUCCUGCCUGCAGAGGCCCUUGUAGAAGUCCCAGUGGCUUGGCCGGCCACCUUGGCCCCACUGCUGAAAGGAGAAGGCAGAUGAAUGUGAAAGUCAAAAUCAGAUCCCUCCAACCCUCUAAUUCAUGUUCGUCUUCAAAAUGUCUUUCAUCUGCAGCUUCAUUUAUUCCAUCGUGGCCCGAUACAGGAUAAGCAAACAAAC
rnacentral:lncRNA from 1 species